AUUGCCCCAGUAACGGCGAGUGAAGCGGCAACAGCUCAAAUUUGAAAUCUGGUCCCUAGGGCCCGAGUUGUAAUUUGUAGAGGAUGCUUUUGGUGAGGCACCGCCCGAGUUCCCUGGAACGGGACGCCACAGAGGGUGAGAGCCCCGUCUGGCUGGAUGCCGAGCCUCUGUAAAGCUCCUUCGACGAGUCGAGUAGUUUGGGAAUGCUGCUCUAAAUGGGAGGUAUAUGUCUUCUAAAGCUAAAUAUUGGCCAGAGACCGAUAGCGCACAAGUAGAGUGAUCGAAAGAUGAAAAGCACUUUGAAAAGAGGGUUAAAUAGUACGUGAAAUUGUUGAAAGGGAAGCGCUCAUGACCAGACUUGGGCUUGGCGAAUCAUCCAGCGUUCUCGCUGGUGCACUUCGCCUCGUUCAGGCCAGCAUCAGUUCGCUUCGGGGGAUAAAGACUUUGGGAACGUGGCUCCUCCGGGAGUGUUAUAGCCCAUUGUGUAAUACCCUGAGGUGGACUGAGGUUCGCGCAUCUGCAAGGAUGCUGGCGUAAUGGUCAUCAGCGACCCGUCUUGAAACACGGACCAAGGAGUCGUCCUCGUAUGCGAGUGUUCGGGUGUAAAACCCCUACGCGUAAUGAAAGUGAACGCAGGUGAGAGCUUCGGCGCAUCAUCGACCGAUCCUGAUGUUCUCGGAUGGAUUUGAGUAAGAGCAUACGGGGCCGGACCCGAAAGAAGGUGAACUAUGCCUGUAUAGGGUGAAGCCAGAGGAAACUCUGGUGGAGGCUCGCAGCGGUUCUGACGUGCAAAUCGAUCGUCAAAUAUGGGCAUGGGGGCGAAAGACUAAUCGAACCUUCUAGUAGCUGGUUUCCGCCGAAGUU
rnacentral:rRNA from 1 species